AACGAACGCUGGCGGCAUGCCUAACACAUGCAAGUCGAACGAGACCUUCGGGUCUAGUGGCGCACGGGUGCGUAACGCGUGGGAACCUGCCCUUAGGUUCGGAAUAACUCCCCGAAAGGGGUGCUAAUACCGGAUAAUGUAUUCGGACCAAAGAUUUCUCGCCUUUGGAUGGGCCCGCGUUGGUUUAGCUAGUUGGUAGGGUAAAAGCCUAGCAGGGGGACGAUCCAUAGCUGGUCUGAGAGGAUGAUCAGCCACACUGGGACUGAGACACGGCCCAGACUCCUACGGAAGGCGGGAGUGGGGAAUCUAGGACUAUGGGCUAAAGGCUGAUCGACCAAGGGCGGGUGAGUGAUGAAGUUGGUAGGGUAGUAAAGCUCGUUUACCCGGGAUGGUAAUGACGGUACCGGGAGAAUAAGCUCCGGCUAACUCCGUG
rnacentral:rRNA from 1 species